rnacentral:rRNA from 1 species
UGGGGAAUAUUGCACAAUGGGCGCAAGCCUGAUGCAGCCAUGCCGCGUGUAUGAAGAAGGCCUUCGGGUUGUAAAGUACUUUCAGUCGGGAGGAAGGUGGUAAGGUUAAUAACCUUAUCAAUUGACGUUACCGACAGAAGAAGCACCGGCUAACUCCGUGCCAGCAGCCGCGGUAAUCCGGAGGUUGCAAGCGUUAAUCGGAAUUACUGGGCGUAAAGCGCACGCAGGCGGUUGAUUGAGUCAGAUGUGAAAUCCCCGGGCUUAACCCGGGAAUUGCAUCUGAUACUGGUAAGCUAGAGUCUUGUAGAGGGGGGUAGAAUUCCAUGUGUAGCGGUGAAAUGCGUAGAGAUGUGGAGGAAUACCGGUGGCGAAGGCGGCCCCCUGGACAAAGUCUGACGCUCAGGUGCGAAAGCGUGGGGAGCAAACAGG